rnacentral:rRNA from 1 species
UAGAGGAAGUAAAAGUCGUAACAAGGUUUCCGUAGGUGAACCUGCGGAAGGAUCAUUAUUGAAAUAAAUCUGGCGGGUUGCUGCUGGUUCUCUAGGGAGCAUGUGCACACUUGUCAUCUUUAUAUCUCCACCUGUGCACCUUUUGUAGACCUGGAUCUCUCUCUGAAUGCUAGCCAUUCAGGAUUGAGGAUUGACUUCAUGUCUCUCCUUCCAUUUCCAGGCCUAUGUUUCUUCAUAUACUCUAAUGUAUGUUAUAGAAUGUAAUCAAUGGCCUUUGUGCCUAUAAACCUAUACAACUUUCAGCAACGGAUCUCUUGGCUCUCGCAUCGAUGAAGAACGCAGCGAAAUGCGAUAAGUAAUGUGAAUUGCAGAAUUCAGUGAAUCAUCGAAUCUUUGAACGCACCUUGCGCUCCUUGGUAUUCCGAGGAGCAUGCCUGUUUGAGUGUCAUUAAUAUAUCAACCUCUUCAGCUUUUGCUUGUUGAGUGUUGGAUGUGGGGGUCUUUUUUGCUGGUCUUCUCAGGUCAGCUCCCCUGAAAUGCAUUAGCGGAACAAUUUGUGGACCGUUCAUUGGUGUGAUAACUAUCUACGCUAUUGACGUGAAGCAGGUUCAGCUUCUAACAGUCCAUUGACUUGGACAAAUUUUCAUUAAUGUGACCUCAAAUCAGGUAGGACUACCCGCUGAACUUAAGCAUAUCAAUAA